UACGUAGGGUCCGAGCGUUGUCCGGAAUUAUUGGGCGUAAAGAGCUCGUAGGCGGUGUGUCGCGUCGGCCGUGAAAACCUGCAGCUUAACUGUGGGCUUGCGGUCGAUACGGGCAUCACUGGAGUUCGGCAGGGGAGACUGGAAUUCCUGGUGUAGCGGUGAAAUGCGUAGAUAUCGAGAGGAACACCAGUGGCGAAGGCGAGUCUCGUGGACGACUCCUGACACUGAGGCACGAAAGCUGGGGGAGCAACAGG
rnacentral:rRNA from 1 species